rnacentral:rRNA from 1 species
AGAUAAUUAAAUCAACAAAAUUAUUUGCCAGAGAACUACUAGCAAUAGCUUAAAACUCAAAGGACUUGGCGGUGCUUUAUACCCCUCUAGAGGAGCCUGUUCUAUAAUCGAUAAACCCCGAUAAACCUCACCACUUCUUGCUAAAUCAGUCUAUAUACCGCCAUCCUCAGCAAACCCUUUAAAGGGAGAAAAGUAAGCACAAUAAUUAGCGCGUAAAAAAGUUAGGUCAAGGUGUAACCUAUGGAGUGGGAAGAAAUGGGCUACAUUUUCUGAACAAGAACAUCACACACGAAAGCCUCCAUGAAAUUGGAAGCCAAAGGUGGAUUUAGUAGUAAAUCGAGAAUAGAGAG